GGACCAUUAGCUCAGUAGGUUAGAGCGCAUCCUUGAUAAGGAUGAGGUCGUUGGUUCAAAUCCAACAUGGUCCA
rnacentral:tRNA from 1 species